rnacentral:rRNA from 16 species
GGAUGCGAUCAUACCAGCACUAAAGCACCGAAACCCAUCAGAACUCUGAAGUUAAGCGUGCUUGGCCGAGAGUAGUACUAGGAUGGGUGACCUCCUACUCCGAAGUUAGGCAUGCUUCGGCGAGAGUAGUACUAGGAUGGGUGACCUUCUGGGAAGUCCUUGUAUUGCAUUCC